CUCUUGGUAGUUUAAAACAAAACGCCAGUUUUGCAAAUUGGUAAUAGGCUUUAAAUUUAAGUCCUCUAAGUGA
rnacentral:tRNA from 1 species